UACGUAGGGUGCAAGCGUUGUCCGGAAUUAUUUGGGCGUAAAGAGCUCGUAGGCGGUUCGUCGCGUCGGCUGUGAAAUCCCCGAGGCUCAACCUCGGGUCUGCAGUCGAUACGGGCGGACUGGAGUUCGGCAGGGGAGACUGGAAUUCCGUGGUGAGCGGUGAAAUGCGCAGAUAUCAGGAGGAACACCGGUGGCGAAGGCGGGUCUCUGGGCCGAUACUGACGCUGAGACGCGAAAGCGUGGGGAGCGAACAGG
rnacentral:rRNA from 1 species